UACGAAGGGGACUAGCGUUGUUCGGAAUCACUGGGCGUAAAGCGCGCGUAGGCGGACCUGCAAGUCGGGGGUGAAAGCCCGAGGCUCAACCUCGGAACUGCCUUCGAUACUGCGGGUCUCGAGUCCGGGAGAGGUGAGUGGAAUUCCUAGUGUAGAGGUGAAAUUCGUAGAUAUUCGGAAGAACACCAGUGGCGAAGGCGGCUCACUGGACCGGCAUUGACGCUGAGGUGCGAAAGCGUGGGGAGCAAACAGG
rnacentral:rRNA from 1 species